GCUAGCGGCAGGCUUAAUACAUGCAAGUCAAGGGGUAGCAAUACAACCGGCGCACGGGUGAGUAACGCGUACACAACAUACCAUAUACUGGGGUAUAGCUUUGGGAAACUGAAGGUAAUCCCCCAUAACAUUGCGAGAGGGCAUCUGAUUGCAAUUAAAGUUUCGGCGGUAUAUGAUUGGUGUGCGUUUGAUUAGCUAGUUGGUAGGGUAACGGCCUACCAAGGCGACGAUCAAUAGCUGGCGUGAGAGCGCGACCAGCCACACUGGAACUGAGACACGGUCCAGACUCCUACGGGAGGCAGCAGUAGGGAAUAUUGGACAAUGGAGGAAACUCUGAUCCAGCCAUGCCGCGUGAUAGAUGAAGGCCCUCUGGGUUGUAAAUAUCUUUUAUCUGGGAAGAAACAAUCUUAUUCUUAAGAUCUUGACGGUACCAGAGGAAUAAGCACCGGCUAACUCCGUG
rnacentral:rRNA from 1 species